rnacentral:rRNA from 1 species
AGUGAACGCUGGCGGUAGGCCUAACACAUGCAAGUCGAACGGCAGCACAGGAGAGCUUGCUCUCUGGGUGGCGAGUGGCGGACGGGUGAGGAAUACAUCGGAAUCUACUCUGUCGUGGGGGACAACGUAGGGAAACUUACGCUAAUACCGCAUACGACCUACGGGUGAAAGCAGGGGAUCUUCGGACCUUGCGCGAUUGAAUGAGCCGAUGUCGGAUUAGCUAGUUGGCGGGGUAAAGGCCCACCAAGGCGACGAUCCGUAGCAGGUCUGAGAGGAUGAUCAGCCACACUGGAACUGAGACACGGUCCAGACUCCUACGGGAGGCAGCAGUGGGGAAUAUUGGACAAUGGGCGCAAGCCUGAUCCGGCCAUACCGCGUGGGUGAAGAAGGCCUUCGGGUUGUAAAGCCCUUUUGUUGGGAAAGAAAUCCAGCUGGCUAAUACCCGGUUGGGAUGACGGUACCCAAAGAAUAAGCACCGGCUAACUUCGUGCCAGCCGCCGCGGUAA